AGAUGCAGUGUAUGGAAUGUCAAAUUUCUAGUAUGAGAAAUUAACUAUUUAAGUCCUUCUUAAAUGAGGCCAUUUACCCAAAGAGGGUGCCAGGCCCGUAUAAAGUUAAUGAUUACUAGAUGGCAUUUCCAAAGAGUCGUGUUGCUUGAUAGUGCAGCACUAAGUGGGUGGUAAACUCCAUCUAAAACUAAAUAUAACCAUGAGACCGAUAGUAAACAAGUACCGUGAGGGAAAGUUGAAAAGAACUCUGAAUAGAGAGUUAAAUAGUACGUGAAACUGCUUAGAGGUUAAGCCCGAUGAACCUGAAUAUCCGUUAUAGAAAAUUCAUCAUUAUGACUUUAAUAUUAAUAAUAUUAUAAUAAUAGUGUGCAUUUUUUCUAUAUAUGGACAUUGUAAUCUAUUAAUAUAAAUAUAUUUAUCAUAAGGUCAUUUGCGUAAGUUUAUUCGAAUUAUUUUGCUUGCAAUUUAAUAUAGAAUAAAUGCUCAUGAUUUGAUAAAGUGUUGAUAGAUUUAUUAUAUAUAGUGCUUAAAUAUUUAUAUUUUAUAAUAGCAUAUUAAUCAUUGAUUUUUAUGUUUAUUAUAUGCACUUAUAUGAUUAACAAUGCGAAAGAUUCAGGAUACCUUCGGGACCCGUCUUGAAACACGGACCAAGGAGUCUAACAUAUUUGCAAGUUAUUGGGAAUUAAAACCUAAUAGCGUAAUUAACAUAACUUAAUAAUGGGAUUAGUUUUUAGCCUAUUUAUAGUCUAUUAAUUCAAUCCCGGGGCGUUCUAUACAGUUAUGUAUAAUAAUAUUUAUAUUAUUUAUACCUCUAACUAGAGCGUACCUUGAGCAUAUAUGCUGUGACCCGAAAGAUGGUGAACUAUACUUGAUCAGGUUGAAGUCAGGGGAAACCCUGAUGGAAGACCGAAACAGUUCUGACGUGCAAAUCGAUUGUCAGAAUUGAGUAUAGGGGCGAAAGACCAAUCGAACCAUCUAGUAGCUGGUUCCCUCCGAAGUUUCCCUCAGGAUAGCUGGUGCAUUUAAAAAUUAUGUAAAAUAAUCUUAUCUGGUAAAGCGAAUGAUUAGAGGCAUUAGGGUCGAAACGACCUUAACCUAUUCUCAAACUUUAAAUGGGUAAGAACCUCACCUUUCUUGGUAUGAAGGUUGUGGUUGUGAUAUAAUGUGCCCAGUGGGCCACUUUUGGUAAGCAGAACUGGCGCUGUGGGAUGAACCAAACGUAAUGUUACGGUGCCCAAAUUAACAACUCAUGCAGAUACCAUGAAAGGCG
rnacentral:rRNA from 1 species